UUUUAUUUUCUGCAUCGCGAGAACGAGCCGACGAUAUGGACGGGAAGGGGGUCGUAAUGCCGUAUUUAUCUUCACAUCUUCGAACAAAACCGCACUACCUAAGCCACAAUACUGAAAAUGGCUAAUGUUCUCCAACAGUGUCGUCACUCAUCAUUGUUGAGUAUGGAGUAUGGAAAGAGAGAUACUUGAACAUGUUGGAAUGUCACCUUGAGGACCAAGAUAUGGGGAGAAUAAUGCUUGAAUGGUGCACAGAUGAGUCUUUUCAACUCUGGUAUGCUUCUCCAAGAAAACGGCCAUGCACAUCACCAGAAUGCUAGAACAGGAUCAGGGAGUGAAUAUCUGAGGAAGGGUUCUUUUCCAGUACUUUGAUACAAUUGUCUUCACUUCAUUUGUUUGCUGUUGGUAUCCGUUGCUCUUCUUUUUUGAUGAAUUCCUGCCUGCAUUCUCUCGUCAAUCAAUCAAGAUAGCGUGCUAUUUCGCAUUCCAUUGGCCAUGUCAUAAUCUACGCAUGAACAUGGACACUGAGUUAAAACUGGUAGCUUGCUCAAUCCCGUACAUCUCUUGACUGUCACCAGCUAUCUAUUCCUAGAGGUUUUAAAGCUACUGUACCACAGCCAAUUUGGACAGCACCAUCUCAAGACAUAAACUCCUGUACCUUGUAACACCAGGAUGUAAUAAAUUGACAGGUUUAUUACUUAUUUGCAAAGAA